AAUUUGGAGGGGACAAAAACAUUUCAACCAUAGCAUCAUUUGUCUCCUUUGCUGCUAUUGGAGGGAGAGUCCCAAUUUCUCAUUAGUUUAUGCAGCUUGCUGCUUAGUAAUGACUUACCAAUGACGGUUGAACCUUGUAGUUGUAUUUGAUGAAGGAAAUAUGCACAUUUCUUUAUAGCACUUAGUUUUUUGCUUUGUUAACAUGCAGGCAGAGCGGGAGUGUUUAUUUUUAAAGAAGCUUUGAGCAUUAGACAUGUUUUAAAUCUAUUUCUUCGUUUAAUAUCAAUUGGCUUCUAAGAAGUGUUUCUCAUCAAAAUGGAAACAAUAAGGCUUAGAUAUUUAAGAUAAAAUAGGAACCCACGAGUCUGCUUUCUCAGUUUUUACCUUGAGACAAUGCCUCCACAAAUACUUGAUGCAAAAUUCAGUAAGACAGCACUUGUUGAAUCACCGUUAUAGUUUCUGACAAAUUGUUCUCAAAAAGGUACCAGCUGGAGGAUGAGUCUGCGCAUUUGGAUGAAAUGCCACUAAUGAUGUCUGAAGA
rnacentral:sRNA from 1 species